AAAUAGCCCCGAUUGCAGUGAAAAUCCUUUGUGGGCUGGGGUUCAGCCGACAAAGAUUGUAACGGAAAGCGGGACGAAUC
rfam:Flavobacterium succinicans strain DD5b FLB_contig000035, whole genome shotgun sequence.